GAUGAAGAACGCAGCGAAAUGCGAUACGUAAUGUGAAUUGCAGAAUUCAGUGAAUCAACGAAUCUUUGAACGCAUAUUGCGCUCUCUGGUAUUCCGGAGAGCAUGCUUGUUUGAGUAUCAGUAAACACCUCAACUUCCAUAUCUUUUUUGAAAUGGGAGUUGGACUUGAGUGAUCCCAACGCUUUUCCUCACCGAAAAGUGGCGGGUUACUUGAAAUGCAGGUGCAGCUGGACUUUUCUCUGAGCUAUAAGCAUAUCUAUUUAGUCUGCCUAAAAAACAGAUUAUUACCUUUGCUGCAGCUAACAUAAAGGAGAUUAGUUCUUGUGCUGACUGAUGCAGGAUUCACAAAGACAGGCUUCGGCCGACUUUGUAAACUCGAUCUCAAAUCAAGUAAGACUACCCGCUGAACUUAAGCAUAUCAAUAAGCGGAGGA
rnacentral:misc_RNA from 1 species